rnacentral:sRNA from 1 species
GCUGGGCACAGUGGUGUAUGCCUACAAUCCUAGCAGCUCGGGAGGCUGAGGUAGGAGGAUUGCCAAGUUUGGGGCCAGCCUCUGCAAUCUGGAGAGGCCCUAAGCAAUUUACAGAGACCCUGUCUCUA